CCAAAGGCCCUUUUCAGGGCCGCCCACCUUCCAACAAAAGAGCUGU
rfam:Tupaia chinensis contig173121, whole genome shotgun sequence.